rnacentral:rRNA from 1 species
ACGGGAUUAGAUACCCCGGUAGUCCACGCUGUAAACGAUGUGAACGAGGUGUGGGCAGUGUAGAAGCCGUCUGUGCCGGAGCAAACGCGAUAAGUUCACCGCCUGGGGAGUACGGUCGCAAGGCUAAAACCCAAAGGAAUUGACGGGGGCCCGCACAAGCAGCGGAGCGUGUGGUUUAAUUCGAUGCAACGCGAAGAACCUUACCUGGUCUUGACAUCCACGGAAGUUUUCAGAGAUGAGAAUGUGCCUUCGGGAACCGUGAGACAGGUGCUGCAUGGCUGUCGUCAGCUCGUGUCGUGAGAUGUUGGGUUAAGUCCCGCAACGAGCGCAACCCGUGUUGCUAGUUACAAGUGUCUAGCGAGACUGCCGGUAACAAGCCGGAGGAAGGUGCGGAUGAUGUCAAGUCAGCAUGGCCUAUAUGUCCAGGGCUACACACACGCUACAAUGGCUGGUACAAAGAGAAGCGAAAGGGAGACCUGAAGCGAAUCUCAUCAAAGCCAGUCAUAGUUCGGAUUGCAGGCUGCAACUCGCCUGCAUGAAGUCGGAGUUGCUAGUAACCGCAGGUCAGCAAUACUGCGGUGAAUACGUUCCCGGGCCUUGUACACAC